rnacentral:rRNA from 1 species
UUUCGGUAGGUGGACCUGCCGUUGGAUCAGU